rnacentral:rRNA from 1 species
UAGGGAAUAUUAGUAAUGGGCGAAAGCCUGAACUAGCAACACCGCGUGUGCGAUGAAGGCCUUCGGGUUGUAAAGCACUUUUUGGAAGGAAUAGGAAGGAAGGUACUUCCAGAAUAAGUCUCGGCUAACUACGUGCCAGCAGCCGCGGUAACACGUAGGAGGCAAACGUUAUCCGGAUUUACUGGGCGUAAAGCGUGUGUAGGCGGUUUGAUAAGUUGGAUGUGAAAGCUCCCGGCUCAACUGGGAGAGGUCGUUCAAAACUAUCAGACUUGAGAGUGGUAGAGGGAGGUGGAAUUCCGCGUGUAGUGGUGAAAUGCGUAGAUAUGCGGAGGAACACCAGUGGCGAAAGCGGCCUCCUGGCCCAUUUCUGACACUCAGACGUGAAAGCUAGGGUAGCAAACG